UACGAAGGGGGCUAGCGUUGCUCGGAAUGACUGGGCGUAAAGGGCGCGUAGGCGGAUGGCACAGUCAGAUGUGAAAUUCCCGGGCUUAACCUGGGGGCUGCAUUUGAUACGUGUGAUCUAGAGUGAGGAAGAGGGUCGUGGAAUUCCCAGUGUAGAGGUGAAAUUCGUAGAUAUUGGGAAGAACACCAGUGGCGAAGGCGGCUCACUGGCCCGGUACUGACGCUGAGGUGCGAAAGCGUGGGGAGCAAACAGG
rnacentral:rRNA from 1 species